AAAGAAAAGAAAAAUAAAACCCUCGGCUGAUUUCCUCAAGAUGUCUCUUACUUUUGGAAAACUACGCAAAUGCAGCUUGAGUGCUGUGUGGAGUGGUCCAGCCUGUCCCACGCCCGCCCGGCGUCUGGAGGGGCUGCCGAGGGUACGUGCAGCCUGGGCAUCGGGGAGGUACGAAGAUGGUUCAGGCUGGACUUGGGUUCUCUGACGGUGUGCGGACUGGUUUAAUUGCUUCACUCUGCAAUUAAUUAUCCAGCUCACUGCCUGGGACUGUCUAGCUCCGAGUAUUCACUGCCAUGAUGUUAAAUCUUCUGUGGAUUCUUAAACUCUAAAGAUAUUUGCAAGAUGAACACAAUAUAAUCUUGGCAGAGAAUCGUGCGUGUGUAUGUGGGUAGGGGAAUCUGUUCAAGCCGGGAUACUUAUUAGGUUUCUGCUUAUGUAUUCAUUUGGCACAUGCUUACCUAGUGCUUACUAUAUGUCAGGUUCUGCUCCAGGUCCUGGAAGUAGAGGGAUGAGCAAGAUGGUCCCUAUCCUCAUGGAACUUACAGGUUAGUAAGGAAAAUGGUAGUUGGAUAAAUAAAUGACAUGCAUAGUGAUUUAAUUACA
rnacentral:lncRNA from 12 species